AGGGUGUAAACGCUGCGGGCUUGGUGUUGGGGGUCCUUAGUGAGCGCCCAGUGCCGGAGAGAAGUUGUUAAGCCUGCUGCUUGGGGAGUAUGUCCGCAAGGAUGAAACUUAAAGGAAUUGGCGGGGGAGCACCGCAACGGGAGGAGCGUGCGGUUCAAUUGGAUUCAACGCCGGACAACUCACCAGGAGCGACGGUUACAUGAAGGCCAGGCUGAUGACCUUGCCUGAUUUUCCGAGAGGUGGUGCAUGGCGUAGUCG
rnacentral:rRNA from 1 species